CUGAUUAGUAACACUUACGUUUCUCUUUUAUUUUUUUUUUUUUCUGCGUUAUCCUUUUGAACUUCUGAUAAGAACAAAUCCUGUCUAGACGCCACCUCAAGCCACUGCUCUCCCUUGAUGCCAAAAUUGAGACACAGGCCCUUUGUCAAGUCAAACACUUAGUAAGCUUAUGCCGAUCAAGCUCGGUGAAAUCAUUGCUGCAGAUUUAAACCAACACGUUUCCCUCAAAUAAAGCUGUCUGUGUUCAACUGGUCAGAUCAGUUGAUGAGACUCUUUGCACUCUUACAUUCUUAUUUUAAAGAUUCAUGUCGAAUUUGAUUUCCAUAGGCUAUAUAUUAAUAUCACAAUAUCUGUUUUUGAUUAUUCCCUGUUAAUUCACCAUUGAUCUGUGCUUUUGUAGUGUGCAGUUAUAUUAAUAUAUAUCCAAAAAGCGCUGACUCUUGUGUUUUUCACCUCAUCCUCAAUGUCACUCUCUCUGGAGAGACGCGAGAGCCCCAGAUCUACAGCGUUUAAACCCAUUAAGGCGACACUCAAAUGCAAAUCCAAUGCUGCAGAUAUAUUAUAAGGGACCUUGGCUGGAAAAAUUAGAUUACUCUGCAAUUGCCAGCGGAUAAUGUGCUAAAAGCUUUCCCACUUAGCGUAACUUCUUACUGAAUAUUAUUCACACUUUCGGGGCCGAUGUGCCAGCCGGCCAAAGGCGACUUUUAACGAUACAGCAAACCCCCGAAACGUGCCCGUCAGGUGCAGUGUUGCCAUGUCCGCAUAUUAUAAGCGACUUUGGCCUUGCGCAGUCACAGCUUUGCUGGCGCUUGGCAGAAUGUGAACAGUUACCAAAUAUCUCCAUCUGCUGUUGAAACAGCAAUAUAUUAUGCAAUUAUAGUUUAAUUCUUAAAUUCCUAUCUAUCUAUCUAUCUAUCUAAUCAUCUUUUUGUGUGUUUAGAUGAUAUAAUUAUUGAAAUAAAAUAUUGUUUUGUAAUUUACAAUGUAGCAUUGUUUAAUUUAUGUUUUAUGCAUCUUUGUAUGAUUUAUGUUUUAUGAUGAUGCAAAUCUCUUUUUAUGGCUUUGUUUUAUUGAAACACUUUGUUUUUUUUCUUGCGAGAUCUGGCAACACUGUUUAAGUAUGUAGUAUUUCAUACGGGCAAAAAUAGUAGGAACCUAACAAACACUCACCUGACGGAUACAUUUCGAGGGUUGCUGACUGUAUCAAGUAUCAUCUACAUUCAGCAAACGACUGUUUUAUUCAUUUCUGUACAUCAGACGGGGAUAAUUAAACGGUGCAGGGCCAAUGCUGAUCACCGCAUGCCACUAUAUGGACACUGUCCAUGCUGACCACAGGACCAGAAACCCAGACCACUGCAAGGGGCACCAUAGAUAAGGAACUUCAGUCUGCUGCCUGACAGCUUAAAACGUGGAUUGUCUCAAUAUGAUGUCACCAGAGAAGGCCUUCCAGUGUGAGUCAUCUGGGAGCGGCUGUUUGCUCCUCAGAAGGUGGAUUUGGAUCCCAGGUCCAGCUGACCUCUGGAGCUUCUCACCCAAACUGUUUUUGGAGCCAGACUUGAGAUUAGAGCGGCUGCAUUUCUCUGCUUUCUUUUCUUUCGGCUGAACUUGUCCGUCGCCCCUUCCUCCCUCCCACAGUUCAUGUUUUCCAGAUAUGUCGCUCCAGCAGGCAUAUAAAGUAGGCCUACUUGAGUAAUUUACUUCAUUACUUUGUCAUUUAUGUGGGAUUUUACUUUACCUGAGUACUAUUGAAAGUGAAUAGUUGUACUUUUACUGAAUCACAUUUCUGAUUGCAUUUUUUUUUAAAUCCUUACAAUUUAAUUUAUGCUGCUUUAAAGUGCAUCUAGAGGCUCCUACUGCUGGAUUGAGCAGUCCAAUAACAACAAAUAAAUACUGUACAAUGGCAAACAGUGUUGUAUCAGGGGUAAGCAGAAGCAAAUACACCUGCAUCACUUUUACACUACAAAUAUUAUUCAUUUUUGCAUGUUAUCUAACAAACAAUUCAUUCAGUUGCAUAAAAGUGUGAAGGGUGAGUCAUUAGCUUUACAUUACUUCAAAAGUAGACUUACAUGAGACAAGUUACAAGUUCUGUUGUAUAAAAUGCAGAACUGAAAUCGAAAUAGCUUCUCUUUCUCAUCAAAUCUAUUUUUUGUGUCAUCUUUCAUAUGGACACCCCCCUUCUAACGUCACAACUCAACAACCUGGAUAUCCCCAUUGAUAAAUAUGAUAUUUCUGACUUCACUAGCAGGACGUUAUUGUAAGUGUUAAA